GGGUGAGCGGCGGACGGGUGAGUAACGCGUGGGAAUAUGCCCUUCUCUAAGGAAUAGCCUCUGGAAACGGUGAGUAAUACCUUAUACGCCCUUCGGGGGAAAGAUUUAUCGGAUUUGGAUCGGCCCGCGUUAGAUUAGGUAGUUGGUGGGGUAAUGGCCUACCAAGCCUACGAUCUAUAGCUGGUUUUAGAGGAUGAUCAGCAACACUGGGACUGAGACACGGCCCAGACUCCUACGGGAGGCAGCAGUGGGGAAUCUUAGACAAUGGGGGCAACCCUGAUCUAGCCAUGCCGCGCGAGUGAAGAAGGUCUUAGGAUCGUAAAGCUCUUUCGCCAGGGAUGAUAAUGACAGUACCUGGUAAAGAAACCCCGGCUAACUCCGUGCCAGCAGCCGCAGUAAUACGGAGGGGGUUAGCGUUGUUCGGAAUUACUGGGCGUAAAGCGCGCGUAGGCGGAUCAGAAAGUUGGGGGUGAAAUCCCAGGGCUCAACCCUGGAACUGCCUCCAAAACUCCUGGUCUUGAGUUCGAGAGAGGUGAGUGGAACUCCGAGUGUAGAGGUGAAAUUCGUAGAUAUUCGGAAGAACACCAGUGGCGAAGGCGGCUCACUGGCUCGAUACUGACGCUGAGGUGCGAAAGUGUGGGGAGCAAACAGGAUUAGAUACCCUGGUAGUCCACACCGUAAACGAUGAAUGCCAGUCGUCGGGUAGCAUGCUAUUCGGUGACACACCUAACGGAUUAAGCAU
rnacentral:rRNA from 1 species